rnacentral:rRNA from 1 species
GUUGUGCCCUUGAGGCGUGGCUUCCGGAGCUAACGCGUUAAGUCGACCGCCUGGGGAGUACGGCCGCAAGGUUAAAACUCAAAUGAAUUGACGGGGGCCCGCACAAGCGGUGGAGCAUGUGGUUUAAUUCGAUGCAACGCGAAGAACCUUACCUGGUCUUGACAUCCACGGAAGUUUUCAGAGAUGAGAAUGUGCCUUCGGGAACCGUGAGACAGGUGCUGCAUGGCUGUCGUCAGCUCGUGUUGUGAAAUGUUGGGUUAAGUCCCGCAACGAGCGCAACCCUUAUCCUUUGUUGCCAGCGGUCCGGCCGGGAACUCAAAGGAGACUGCCAGUGAUAAACUGGAGGAAGGUGGGGAUGACGUCAAGUCAUCAUGGCCCUUACGACCAGGGCUACACACGUGCUACAAUGGCGCAUACAAAGAGAAGCGACCUCGCGAGAGCAAGCGGACCUCAUAAAGUGCGUCGUAGUCCGG